rnacentral:lncRNA from 1 species
UGUUAAUUCAGGGGAAAACUUCAAAAAAACCCAUAUGGUUUCACACUUUCUUAUUUUAGUAUUCUGUGGUUUAUAGUGUAUCAAUUUACCACCCUGUGGUUUUAUUUUUAUCUUUUCGAUAGCUUUUUUCUUAAUAUUUUUUUAAAUUAUAUACAAAAAACUUCAGAUACCCAAUCUAGAUUUAUCGAAUAUUUAUUUCAGUACCCUUUAAUUUUAAUUUUGUCACUGAUUUAAAAAAAUAAUAAUAAAAUUGAUAACAAAAAGAAAAAAAUGAAACCACAGAAGGACAAAUUGAUACACUUUAAACUAUAUGGUACUAAAGUGGGAAAGUGCGGAACUAGGUGGGGGUUUUUUGAAGUUCUCCCUUAAUUCAAUUAAUUAAGAUGAUAACGUACGGUUAUUUGACCAACUUCGUUUUGAUAUGAUUGAAAUAAUAUGAAAGUUUAUUAUAUUUAUCAAAAGUUAAAUUCCACAAGAAAUUAUAUGCAAGCUGUUAACUUAAAAAUAACUGUGUUUAUCAAAAAGUUUAAAAGAAUCAAUUUAAUUAAACUGUGCAACAUUUUCUAAUAAUAGUGCAAUAUUUACAAAAAUAGUAUAAAUAUUUGUACAAAUAGUAUAAAAUAUGCACCGUUUAUACACGUAUUAUAAUAUUUUUAUAGUAUGUUGUAAUAUAUUAUAUUAUUUUCGCAUAAUAUACUAUACUAUUUGUAAUUUAGUAUAAAAAUAAUACAAAAUGUGUAAAAAUAAUACAUAUGUUGCACUACUUAUACAGGUAUUGUACUAUUUGGACAGUAUGUUGCAUUAUUUGAGAGGAUGUUGCACUCCUUCAUGUUAUUAACUAAACUUUAUUUUUUUUCUUUUGUCGUGAAUGAGUAUUCUCGUUUUACGAGAAAAGUACAUGUAAUUAUAGCUUAGCAGUUGUCAUUUUCAAGAAAUUUGAAACUUUAUUUAAUAUGCAAUAAAAUUUAAUUUUUUUUAAAAAAAAGUGCAACAACAUCUAAAUGAUGCAACCUGCUCUCAUAAUAGUGCAACGUUUACAUAAAUGGUGUAAAUAUCUAUAUAAAUAGUGCAAAAUAUGCACCGUUUAUGCACGUAUUGUACUAUUUUUAUAGAAGAGUGUAAUAUAUUAUAUUAUUUUUGAGUAAUAUACUAUAAUAUUCGUAAUUUCGUGUAAAAAUAAUACAAAAUGUGUAUUAACAAUGCAUAUGUUGCACUACUUAUACAGAUACUGCACUAUUUGUAAGAGUAUGUUGCAUUAUUUGAGAGGUUGUUGCACUCUUUCAUCUUAUUAAUUAUAGUUUAUUCUUUUUCUUUUGUCAUGAAUAAGAAUUCUCGUUUCACGAGAAAGGUACAUAUAGGGGUGGAAACGAGCCGAGCUCGAGCGAGCUUAUGUCAGCUCAAACUCGGCUUGAAAUUAAUUUCGAGCCUAAAUCUAGGCUCAAGCUCGGCUUGAAAUUAAUUCGAGCCGAGCUCGAGCGAGCCUAAUUUCGAGUCGAGCCGAGCUCGAGCUCUAAACGAGCCGAUUGAAAUUCUCGACAUUAUAUAAUCAAUAGUUUAAUUUUUAUAGAACAUUACCUACAAUUUGAUGCAACAUGUUCAAUAGUUCAAAAUACAAAAUAAUUGCAAGAAAUGUGAGCUAGGAUGACUGCCUGACUGGGUGAGGGUCUGAGGGAGAAUGAGAGAGAGAGAGAGAGGGGAAAAAAAAUAGGGAUUUGGAAAUUUGAAUGUUAUCAUGUUUUAGGGUUAUGUGCAACAGUGAAAGCCUGAAAGAGAGUGUGUUAGGUAAAUUUAGAGUUGGGCUCAAUUGCAUGGUUGUACUUGUUGGGUUUAUUUUAUGCGUCAACAAUAAUGGCCCAAAUUAAAUUAAAGCCUAUAUAUAAUUAAAAUACAUUAUAUAUAUAUAUAUAUAUUCGAGCUUUUUGAGCUUUUCGAGCCUAAUUCGAACGAGCUGAGUAAUACUCAAGCUCGGCUCAUUUAAUUUCGAGUCGAGCUCGAGUGAGCCGAAUAUCGAGCCGAACACGAGUCGAACGCGAGCCGGCUCGCUCGUUUGCCAGCUCUAGGUACAUGUAAUUAUAGGUUAGCGAUUAUUAUUUCUAAGAAAUUUGAGACUUAAUAGCUUAGCAGUUAUAUUUUUCUAGAUAUUUAAAGUAUGUAAUUUUUAUAUAUUUUGAAAGAGGGGUAAUAUGGUCAUCUUUCUAAAAAUUCGGUCCGAAUCUGCAAAAUCCAAAAAAAAGCUCACUUUUGCAAAAAUUCAAAACUAAUAGAUUUUUUAUGCAAAUUAGCCAUCUUUUAUUAAAAAAUAAAAUCAA